rnacentral:rRNA from 1 species
CCUACGGGUGACAGCAGUGGGGAAUAUUGGGCAAUGGGCGAAAGCCUGACCCAGCAAUGCCGCGUGAAUGAAGAAGGUCUGAGGAGUGGAAAAUUCUGUCUGAGGGGAAGAAAAAAAUGACGGUACCAUAGGAGGAAGCCUCGGCUAACUACGGGCCAGCAGCCGCGGUAAUACGUAGGGGGCGAGCGUUGUCCGGCAUUACUGGGCGUAAAGAGAGCGUAGGCGGCACUACAAGUCUCAUGUGAAAUACCCGGGCUUAACGUGGGGGUUGCAUGGGAAACUGUAGAGCUUGAGUACAGGAGAGGCAAGCGGAAUUCCUAGUGUAGCGGUGAAAUGCAUAGAUAUUAGGAGGAACACCAGUGGCGAAGGCGGCUUGCUGGACCGAAACUGACGCUGAGGCUCGAAAGCGUGGGGAGCAAACAGGAUUAGAUACCCUUGUAGUC